UCACCUGCGAUCAACCUGGUCUGCUCGCGGCAUUCAUACUCUCCCAGCUACCAGCAGUCAGGGAGCACUAGCUCACAAACCGGGCAGCAGGACACAAAAGCGUCCCAUGAUCUUCAAGCUUGAGGCCCAGAAAGCGACGGCUUGGGCGCGCCAUUUGAAUACGCUUCCAAACGCGCCGUUUUAGCUCAGCUCCAAUCGGAGGCCAGCAAAGAAUGUCGUCUUCUCCAAGGUCUCUCCGCACUCUGCGAGCAGGAGCCGGACAGCAAAACCUGUGAGAAACAUUUUGAGGACCAGCGCUGGUUUGCUGAUCACGUUUGUGAGUGGUAUUGUAGUAGAACCUACGAAAGCCACCAUCGUAAGCCAGGAAAUUUUUCUUUUGUAUGGAAUUCUUCUGGUUCGCAGAACCGUGUGUUUCUAAAAGAAAUAUGCAUGUCUUUAAAGUUCCAUCACACAAGAGAGAACUUGUUUCUUCCACCGAUUUGAAUGGAAUUGAUCUUUAAAAGAACAGGACUCUACAUACGCAACUGAGAAAUCUUAAAACACUGAAUGAAAAGAGAGUCAUGCUUAUCCCACCAAAUGUUUGCUGAAGGGGCUCAGCUGGAGACUGGAAGGGAAUGACAGAAAGCAUCUGAACUCAGCGAAACACCUUCCGAGCUGUCCUGCAUUUAUCCGGGGUGUCCUUAGAAAUCAUGACAGAUGAUGCAACACGGUAGCCGCGGCACUACUGGUGGCAACAUCAGGGAGCAAUCCUUUCCCUCAAACCGCAUAAAGUGGUCGGGAGACUUCGCAGCUUCAGAAAACAUAUACAGCAUUGAGAAAUAGAUUAACCAGAUUUGGAGGUGAAGAACUUUCUGGAAAAGAUACUUGGAAGUCUCCUUUGCUAUCUUGUUGGAGCAGGACAAGUUGAGUGAAGGGGAGACGCUGCCAUUCAAACAGACGAGCUGCAUAAAGUAGGCUAUGUACAAACUGGAAUCGGGGUCUCCAAUCAGAAAGGUUUUUGUGUCUGUUCCCAUUGAGAACUUGGUUUAGACAAGCUCUGUUACAGGUCAGAAGAAAAUGUAAGAUGGAUUUUUCUACCCCAUCUGACAGCUUCAGUUCAUCAGAAAAGAGAGCUAAACACAGCUUCGAAGACAGAAGGCUGAGGCAGCAUUCUGUUAAUGACUUGGGACAACUCUGAACCACUGUUCACAAUGAUUCCAUUGAAUGGGACAGCAGAAGUCCUAUGACUUCAGCAUGGAAACAGCAGCAGCCCUCAAGGAUUUCUGGAUUUUAUUUUACUUAGUUUUUAAAGAUUUUAUUUGUUUAUUUGCCAGAGAGAGAGAGAGCACAAGCAGGAGGAGUGGCUGGCAGAGGGAGAGAGAGAGGCAGACUUCCCACUGAGCAAGGAGCCCGAUGCCCCUGAGAUCAUGACCAGAGCUGAAGGCAGACUGAGCCACUCAGGCACCUCGGAUUUCUGUAUUUUAAAUGAAUGAACAAAAUGAUUUGUGAGGUUUGACUAAAUAAAGGGCAAAAUAUUAACCUUCUUUGGGCUGGAGAGAGAAGCCAAAGGUGCCUUAAUUUCUACAUAGCUUUUUUUUUUUUUUUCUUUCCAUUAAUUAUUAUAUUUAGCAAAGUUCUCUGUUUCUCACCUUUACUAAAUAUGGCAUUUAGAAUGACUGGCCCUUCAUGUUCCAUGAAUUAAAACUUCUAAGUUGUUAGAAGAUAAUUUUGUCUCUCUUAUUUAACAUCAUGAAAAAUGAUUGUUUUGAAGGUCUGAGAAAAAAAAAUGAUAUUACAAAAAGGUGGUCCCUCUACCUCACUGCAGUUUCCACUUGAAUUGCCUGAUUUCUUUUUCCCUUCCUCCCUCCCUUCCUCUUUGCUUCCUUCUUUCUGUCCUCUUAUCCCCAGAUAUACAAAGCAUGCAAGGCAUAAGUUGAUGCUUUAUUAAUAAAUAAUAUUUCAAAAGUGGAUAUAUACAUCUUCAGUCAUAUGCCUUUUAUUUGUUCAUUUUUUCAAUGUUGAAUUGUUUCUUAAUGUAUCAUUUUUAGUUUUAGGCUUUUUAGUUUUUAAAUAUAUUAAAUGCUUUGCUACCAGCCUUUGACCAAUAUAAACACUUUAACUGGGAUUCUUAUGUAGCUUCAGUAUAAUUCAUGAUAAUGGUAUAGCAAGAUUCUAAAUCAAGUUUGGAAUUAUAAAAAGUUAACUUUUAUCCACUGUAGUCAUAGCGUUAUCAUUGUUUAAUAUAUUGCAAUCAUCUGAAAAUUGGAAAUCGGGGUGUGUCGUAUAUAAAUAUGACUACAUAAAAGUUGACUCGAAGGCUUCAUUCCCCUUCCAUGACAGACAGUAGUUUUCAUAUAACUAUUCUGAAGCACGUUGCAAAAGAUAGCAUUCUCUUCUUUCUGAUAGAGUAGCCAAGAUACCAAGUCAGAUGUCUAAACUAGGUUACAUUUUGAGAAUAGAGUCCCCCCCACCUCCUUUUUCCUCUCUCUCAUCUUAGCUUUGAUUACAUUCAUCAUGGUUCUCCUCCCAUGAUGUUCACUCUUGAUAACAGGUGGUUUUGAAUGACAUUGUUGUGGUAGGUGUUUUGUCAUACUAGAAAAAGGAGAUUUUCACACAUAAGAAAUUAUACUUCCUACCUGUAGUAGUUUAGUUUGGGGUCUUACAAACAGAACAAUUCUAGUUAAUAUAUAUGGAAAGUAGCCUGAUAAUGUAAGGGAGAAAUAUUAAAAUUUGUAUCUUUAAGGCUAUUAAUGAAAAACUAAAUGUAUUUCUUUGACAAAAUAAUUUAAAAAUCACUUUAUUACUGCAGGCUACACACUCUUUUUGUUCUUGGAAUAAUUCUACGAGUUUUUACACGUUCA